rnacentral:rRNA from 1 species
GUAGGGAAUAUUGGACAAUGGGCGAAAGCCUGAUCCAGCCAUGCCGCGUGAUAGAUGAAGGCCCUCUGGGUUGUAAAUAUCUUUUAUCUGGGAAGAAACUCCUCUAUUCUUAGAGGCCUGACGGUACCAGAGGAAUAAGCACCGGCUAACUCCGUGCCAGCAGCCGCGGUAAUACGGAGGGUGCAAGCGUUAUCCGGCUUCACUGGGUUUAAAGGGUGCGUAGGCGGGUUGAUAAGUCAGUGGUGAAAGCUCCGGGCUUAACUUUGAAACUGCCAUUGAUACUGUCAGUCUUGAAUGUCGUAGAGGUAAGCGGAAUGUUGCAUGUAGCGGUGAAAUGCUUAGAUAUGUUACAGAACACCAAUUGCGAAGGCAGCUUACUAUGCGAUAAUUGACGCUGAGGCACGAAAGCGUGGGGAGCAAACAGGAUUAGAAACCCGUGUAGUCC